CCCUUAGAUGUCCGGGGCCGCACGCGCGCUACACUGAAGGAAUCAGCGUGGCUUUCUCCCUGACCCGAAAGGGUUGGGAAACCCGUUGAAUCUCCUUCGUGAUAGGGAUUGGGGCUUGAAAUUGUUCCCCAUGAACGAGGAAUUCCCAGUAAGCGCGAGUCAUAAGCUCGCGUUGAUUACGUCCCUGCCCUUUGUACACACCGCCCGUCGCUACUACCGAUUGAACGGUUUAGUGAGGGCCUCGGAUUGGUCUCGGCCCGCUCUUUAUCGGGCGGCGCCGUUGGUCGAGAAGACGCUCGAACUUGAUCGUUUUGAGGAAGUAAAAGUCGUAACA
rnacentral:rRNA from 1 species